AGUCCGCUCAAGUUUCCCACAAUUCGUAUUUCAAGCAGACGCUUCAAGAAUUUUUUGAGGUGUACGGCUGGAGAUGGAAACAAGGAGAAAACGAAACCCAUCUCAGUCGGAGUCUGGCCCAAAGUCCAAGAGACCCAAGAGAAGGAACGAAAUAUCGCUGUCGGAAAACAAGGACAAUCUCGGUGAAGAAAUAAAACAUGAGACGUCCAAGGCUACUGAAGCAGAAAUCAAGGACAAAUUAGAUCAUACCAAGACCUCGGCAGACAAACCUCAAGAACCCUCUAAAGAUUCAGAUGACCUAACUUCUUCAAAAACAUCUACAAACAAACGCUCCCUAAACUUGAAGACUGUUUACUCAGAGAGACUGGGUAACAGAGAGGAGGAAUCUGUUUACUCUGAGAGACUGGGUAACAGAGAUGAGGAAUCUGUUUACUCUGAGAGACUGGGUAACAGAGAUGAGGAAUCUGUUUACUCUGAGAGACUGGGUAACAGAGAUGAGGAAUCUUUGGUUGCUGCUCAGUCAAUGACAAGCUUGGCUAAUGGAAGCAAUGCAGAAGUCUCAUCAGCAACAGAGAGAAGUCCAGGCUGUCUUAGCCAGGAGACUGAGGCUUGUGUGCAGGAAAAGGAAAGGGACAGUCCAAAGAUACUGUACAGGGAGGACCCCACUGGCCAAGAUCUGAGUGGAGAAUCGGUCCCCAGUCAACAGGAGAUCCCAGAGCCACCACAUGCACCUACAGAAAUCGGAAGGAAGUGGAGCUCUGAGGGUCUGCCAAUAGAGGUGGUUCAGUCUGAGCCCCACUGGAAAAGUCACCCACCGAGCUGCAACAGCUAUCCCAGCAAUGCCUUACCUCCAGCCUCCAGCCUUCUAAAAGUUCCACGGAUGUAUGACAGCAAUAUGAAUGUACAACACAAUGGUGGCAGUUAUCCUAAUGCAGGGGCCGGGGCCAUGCCUACAUUCCCCAAUACACUUGGGCAGCCCAUACAGACAAUACCAACCCCCACCAGGAUGGGAGUCCACUACGAGACACCUCCUAUGCCCAUGACAGAUCCUCAUCUUUCAUAUCAAGGUCAAAUGAUGAACCAUCCUGAAUACUACAUAAUGCCUGACAAUGGUGCAGCCAUAUUGCCCUCUGGACCAGGAAACCCUGUUCAUAUAUUUAACAACUUUCCACCAGGGGAUCCUCAUUCCUACCCUGCAGCAAAUGUUGAAAUCCCGGAAUCUGUGGGUCAGUACCAGGAGCCAACUAACCCCAGAAGAACCCGGUCCUCCAAAGUCAAGUCCCCGCAUGACUAUUUCAACGUUGUUAAAAACUAUGUGUACGGUCCAAGGGAGGAGUAUAUUGUGGCUGCCCAGGACAUGUAUGGUAAGCCAGAGGACAAGGACAACUUCUACAUGGCCAUUUCUCCCGAGAUCAAUCCAGCAGAAGUCAGAUCUAUAGACCACAAAGGUCUCGUCUCCAAGUACAUCGACUAUCUCCUGAUUGAGAACGAGCACAUCACAGAGAUGUCAAAGUCUGUCUCCAUCCCCAUAGAGAACUGUGUGAUGGACGACCCGUACUUGAUGGACAUUGUGCGGGUCAAGAUUCCCUUUCCUACCCCCAAGUACCUGCAGUGGCUGAGUGCCUACUACCCGUCCAUACAGGUCGACUGGCCGGCCAUCAGGAAAGAACUGGCCACCUUUAAUGGAGUGGGUGGAAGGAAACCCAAGAGGACCUACUUCAUGGACCGACGUCCCUGUCACAUCCUCCUUGGGGAAUCCUUCUACUUCUUCCAGAGAGAGAAAGACAAGCAAGUUAAAUAAAUCUUCCAGUAUGGAUUUUUAUUGCAUGGACCAUUUUGAUUUAUUGAUUUUCUCCAAGAGAUUUUUUAUUUUUAAGUUCUGUUUUUCAUGAGUUCAUGCCAGCUUUCUCUGUUAAUGAAUUUAGAAUUGCAUGACUAUCAAUUUUAUCUAAAUAAUACAGUGUAACUAAUCAAUGUUUUGUGACCUUUGUGAUUGCAUAAGGUUUGUGAACAAAAUAAAGGACAAAAUCUAUG
rnacentral:misc_RNA from 1 species